UUCAUUUGGAAAACAUUUUAUUGCCAGUAAUUCCUGCAAAGCAUUAUGCACUGCCAUUUCACUUUUUAAAUACACAUCAUAUACACAAAUAUAUUGUCCUUUGCAUGCCUUUAUUUAUAAAAAAUAAUAAUUUUUACUGAUAUAUAAAACAUUGGUGAUAUUAAUGAAUACUGAAUGCAAUGAAAAUAAGCUACAAAACUAAAACGGCUCCACCUUUUCUUCAUUCUGUUUGCGAAGUACAGCCAACCUUCUAAAUCAAAGCUUAAUACUAAUUAUGGGCACACAUUAUUUUUCUUAUAGAGGAUAAACUUCUAUGCAUGCAUUGGACUGGCAAAAGUGUUAGCUCUCCAAAAAUGCUUUUGCUAUUUUAUGUUUUCUGUACUUCUUAGGAAUUACUGAAAGUGAGGGAUCCUGGUUGCAUCAUUUUGGGUUGUGAAGCUGACGGCUACGCAAAUUUCUAGCAAAUGAAGAAUUAUUGUUCUACGUUAUGGAAUUUGACUUUCCUUGACUUCAUUGCCAUGUGCUUUACUUUAUUGAUAAAGUGUUUUACCACAUUUUGAGAACUACUAUAAUACAUGCAGAACCAAAGAAUAAUUAAGUAAAGCUAAAGUAAUACUACUGGAUGAAGAAGAGGAUGGCAUUCCUUAUGUUCUGUGAUGUAUGUAUGGCUGCAGGUUGAAUGGUUCCCCCAUCAUUAUAACCGAUUUCAAAUGGUGCUAGAAAAAGCAGAUGACUCUGAACACCAGAAGAAAUCGGUCAUCCUUUAAAAGGGGUUCAUAUUAGCGCUUCUCAAGAUGUAUCUUCAUCCAUAUGUCCAGAUGGAAGUUUCCUUGCUUUGUUACGCUAGAUAAUAAAAUGCUCUUCACACUGAAAUGUCCCUAUCGUCAGCAGGAUUUGUCACAUUCUAUUCCCUGCUGAUCACUGGUUAUCUCACUGAAAAUAUGUAUUUCGAAAUUUGAGCUUUUUGGAUUCCAACCAUCCAUGGCACUUUGGAUGCAGUAGGUGAUGAUGCGGGGAGAAGCAACCGUUUUAUGACUUUACAUAUUACUGCAGUUCUUUUGAACCUCACAUUUAAUCAAAAAGUCUUUAAAGAGUCUAGCAACAAAUGUCAUUUGAAUCUAAAAUCCAACAACAUAAUGCAAUGUAAAAGUGAUCCCUACUAUAAAAAAGAUCAUCUCUGGGCAAUUGAAAUAGAUAUUACAGCAAGUCAAGAUAAUGUUUAAAACCCAAAAUAAAAUACAAUUAUGGUUGAUUGAAACAGCAUUCCAACACCUUUUUUUUUUAGACAGGCAGAAUUUCCCCUUCCAAGGACACUGAUUUCAUAUGGUGCUAGACAUUAUACUCUUAAAUCUAAACCACCAAAUGAAACCAGCCUCCUGAGAAUGGGUAGAGUUUGUCUUGUCCUUCAGUGCACCGUAUCAGAUUCUUUAUAGCUCCUCUUUUCAAUUCCACACUUUUACAAGAUGUUACAAUGCUUGGAAUCAGGAUCU